GACGAACGCUGGCGGCGUGCCUAAUACAUGCAAGUAGAACGCUGAAGGAGGAGCUUGCUUCUCCGGAUGAGUUGCGAACGGGUGAGUAACGCGUAGGUAACCUGCCUGGUAGCGGGGGAUAACUAUUGGAAACGAUAGCUAAUACCGCAUAACAGUAGAUAUCGCAUGAUAUCUGCUUGAAAGGUGCAAUUGCAUCACUACCAGAUGGACCUGCGUUGUAUUAGCUAGUUGGUGAGGUAACGGCUCACCAAGGCGACGAUACAUAGCCGACCUGAGAGGGUGGUCGGCCACACUGAGACUGAGACACGGCCCAGACUCCUACGGGAGGCGGCAGUAGGGAAUCUUCGGCAAUGGACGGAAGUCUGACCGAGCAACGCCGCGGGAGUGAAGAAGGUUUUCGGAUCGUAAAGCUCUGUUGUAAGAGAAGAACGAGUGUGAGAGUGGAAAGUUCACACUGUGACGGUAUCUUACCAGAAAGGGACGGCUAACUACGUG
rnacentral:rRNA from 1 species